CUCAAUGGAUGUAUUAGAGAUCCACAUGCAGAAGAAUGGAGUGAAUCCUCUACCUCGAAACUUGCACAAAAGUUAAAUCACAAGGAAGCAAAGAUCUAAAAGUAAAAGGGAAAACUGUUAAAUAUUUCUUUAAAAUAUAAAUGACAAAUACUCCUGAUAUUAAGUUAGGCAGUAGUUCCUUAGAAAUGACCCCAAAGCACAAAUAAAAACAAUGAAAUCCAUAAAUGGACAUCCUCCAAUGUAUAGGCGACCACGAAAAUGAAAAGGUAAUCCACAGGGUAGGAGGGAACUUUGGGAAAUUAUGUCCUUGUUAGAACGAGUUCGUGCAGUUCAAUAACGGAAAACGACAAACGGCUCAGCUGAAGUAUGAGCAAAGGGUCUGAGUAGACCCCGACCCAGAGAAGACAGGCACAUGGCCGAGGAGAUCCGACACCAGGAGACGGUACCACUGCCCCAGGAGACUGCGCUCAGGCCAACAAGAUGGCGACUGGCAUUGCCGCAGAUGUGGAGAGCCGGGAAGCCUCCUGCUACUGUGACAGGCAGCGUUCCAGCUGCUUUCCCUCGGCCAUGCUCUCAAAAAGGAAGACAUGGAGUCUACCAGCAAUGCCACUUCUAGGUUACAGUGUGCAAUCCCGAGCACCUACCAAGCAGCAUCCUUAGGGUGACAGCAAGUGCUGGGGCCGAAAAGUCCUAGGAACUGGGUGUGAAGAGUGGCCCUCAGACUCACACUUCCCAUCGAGAGGACCUGGUGGCUUUCCUGUUCAUCUUCUGCGGCAUCCUGUUCAUGUCCUCUUACCACAAAGUUGAUAGAUCCAAUCAGUACAGGACUGAAAAUGCCCUUUGACUGACCCAAAGAUGUCUGAAACCACCAACGCCUCCUGGCUUUGCUCUUUAGAGUCUAUCUGAGUCUUCUGAUACAGUUUUAUAUUUUGCUGCAACGAAUGUUGGUAUCCUCCAUAAAUUAUACCCUGAAAGGUAA